CCCAAUCUAUUUUAUUUGUGGCAUCAUCUAAAACUCCCAUUAAUUAUUGUUAGUUAAAAUUUAAAAAUUUCAAGUUUAAAAUCGUCCAAAAUCCAAAUCAAUGUUUAUGUGAGAUCUGAAACCCUAGAUCUAUUACCACCACAUUCAUCUCUUCUCCAUUAUCACCAUCAAGCUCGCUCUAGUGUUCGAGAUCAGAGAGAGAGAGAGAGAGUAAGCUCUAGUGUUCGAGAUCAGAGAGAGAGAGUAAGCUCGUCUACACGCCAUAGCUUUCGAGAUAAGAGAGAGUGAGUUCGUAGUCACCGUCGGAGCCUCCAUCAAGCUUAUCUGUCGACGCGUUUGAUUUUCUCCUCAAUCACCUAAGUUCAAUUUCUGUUUGUUCAUUUUUUUUUCUUUUUCAUUGUUAUUUAUUUAACUCAGUUUGGAUAUUCAAUUGUUUUUCACUUUUUCUCUACAUUUUUCAUGCAUAUAUAGCGUGGUUGGAAUUUGUUAUGAAGAAAGAUCGCAGCGGUGGUAGUGCGGCGGCGGUGAUAGUGCAACAGCAAUGGCGGCGGUGGAGCAAAGAAUGGUUCUUCAUAGAGCGCAACAGGUGAAGAAGAGUAGACAUGGACCGAGGUCGCAAAGCUCAGCGUAUCGCGGCGUCACCUUCUAUCGAAGGAUCGGACGAUGUGAAUCGCAUAUUUGCAUGAUGGAUUCUUCCCUUUUCUUGGAAAUUGAUACUUUUCUCAACAACAAUAGCACAGAUUAGAGACCAUUGGAGCAAAGCAAAGGCUGUUGAUAUUUGAUAAGUACAACAAUGACCAUCAGUUUCUGAAGAUGAUGAUAUAAUGUGUAACAGGUACAAUAUGCUUGAUCAAGGUUUUGUUAAGGAAUCGAUGUUUUCAUUUUGGCUGAACCGUAACCCAGAGGAAGAGAAUGGGGGCGAACUUGUUUUUGGACUACAAGGGAAAGCACACUUAUGUGCCUGUGUCAAGAAAAAGAUAUUGGGAGUUUGAUAUGGGAGAUAUACUUAUUGGAGACAAAAGAACUGGUAUGUGAAGACCAAAAAAAUUAGUAUAAUUCUGCUAGUUUUUCUUAUGACAUGAUCGUAAAUGGUUUAUGAUUUCAGUUCUAAUUUACUGAUAUGAUCACAUUGCUAUCCAAGAAUUUGUGCUGAUAGCUGUUCAGCUAUUGCAGACUUAGGGACUUCUUUGUUGGCAGGUCCAACAGUAUGAAUGAAAUAAGUACUCUAACCAUGAUUGCUAGUUUGUUCUUUAAUUCCUUGAAGAUUGAUUUUGUAUAAAUAUGUUGUAUUCUGAAGUGUUUUCCACAAUCUGAAUAAUUUGUCUGUUUUGGCCACAGAAAUUGCCGAUGGAAUAAUGAAAGAGGGCUCCGUUGUUGAAGCAGUUGACUUGCCUAUGUUGUAUUCAUGUGCUUUGACUAAACUGCUAAUAAUGUUAAAAUAUUUCACUAUUUCAGUGUGAUCCAGUUUUGUGCGACAGCAUUUGCCUACUAUGAUCAAGCAGCUACAGCACAGGAAAUAUUUGGCCACGCCUUGGAGUCUCUGCGUGGAAUUAAAUAUUUGUACAAGUACAACGUAUUUCAGAUCGCAUUUGUUGUAUUGGCUGGAUUGACAUUUGUGUAUUAUCUUAUCUUUGGAUGGAGAAGAAGAAAGCCUAGUGGCAGGUUCCAAUUGUCUUCAUAAGGAGAAAAAGAAGGCAAGUAUUAUGCCAUAGAUGUCCCAUUCAAGGAUGGAAUAGAUGACCCUAGCUUUAGUCGACUUUUCAAUACUAUCAUCUCUAAAGUAGUGGAAACAUAUCAACCCGGUGCAAUAGUUCUCCAGUGUGGAGCUUAUUCACUUGUUGGAGAUCGCCUAAGCUGCUUCAAUCUCUCUAUUGAUGGUACAUAUCUCCCGGUUGCUUGAAAUGUAUUUGGAUCCACAAGAUGGUAAGGAGCCCAUGUUUAAUGCUGCUAUUCGCCUUCUCCACAAUCAUGGAGAAUCAUUGGAACCUUUGCAAGUUUUAUAGAAGACAGAUUAAUUAAAGAAGCAGUUAAUCACUCAUGAGAAUUGAUGGUUGUUUUCCACCCUUCCCAGCCACGUUCCUCUUCCCUAUUUUCUUAGAAAGUGGCCUGGGUAGCGGCAUUAGGUGGCUGCACGGUAUGCAUAUAGAAAAUCAAAAUUUUCAAUGAAUACACAAUUGAAGCCUUGAACCUGACUUGUAAGGAAGGCUUAUAAAGUACUUGAUUUUCCAUUUUGUACCUUAUACUCAGAACAUUGUAUUUCUUGCUGCUUAAUAAAUGAGAGGUUAUUAAUUCUCUUUGAAAUCUCA